rnacentral:tRNA from 1 species
GGCACUAUCGUUCAAUGGCAGGACAACAAAGACUAUUACUGGGGCGGUUAGUUCUUCGUAAAUAAGGGUUCGAAUCCUUUUAGUGCCA